rnacentral:rRNA from 1 species
GCUGGCGGCAGGCUUAACACAUGCAAGUACGAACGGUAACGACGGGAGCUUGCUCCCGGGCGACGAGUGGCGGACGGGUGAGUAACGCGUAGGAAUUUACCCAACUGUGGGGGACAACCCGGAGAAAUCCGGGCUAAUACCGCAUACGCCCUACGGGGGAAAGCGGGGGAUCUUCGGACCUCGCGCAGUUGGAUGAGCCUGCGUCGGAUUAGUUUGUUGGUAGGGUAACGGCCUACCAAGGCGACGAUCCGUAGCUGGUCUGAGAGGAUGAUCAGCCACACUGGGACUGAGACACGGCCCAGACUCCUACGGGAGGCAGCAGUGGGGAAUAUUGGACAAUGGGGGCAACCCUGAUCCAGCCAUGCCGCGUGUGUGAAGAAGGCCUUCGGGUUGUAAAGCACUUUUAGUGGGGAAGAAAAGCCUAAGGUAAAUAAUCUUGGGUCUUGACGGUCCCACAGAAAAACACCGGCUAAUUCCGUGCCA